CCCCGCUUCAGUCAAAACGACCCCUAUUGGGCUCAUUAUCUCUUUGUAUGGCUAGGGUUCAAAACCCUAGCCGCCACCCUACCCCCUCCUCUAUUGCGAUGUCCCAUCGCCAUCUGAGCAUGAACAAGGCUCGGCACGGCGGAAAGGACGGAGCAUUUAUUGUUUCCGUCCUUCUUCAUGCUUUCUCUUCCGUCAAAUUCGUCCAAACACGGCUUUAAAGGCACAAUCCUCCCUCUCAAAUCGUGCCGUUGACCGCAAUGUUUCUUCAUCCCAUUCAUUCAUUCAUUCAUUUAUCCAAGUGAGACUUGUGAGAACAUCACAAGUUCCACAUCAAUGGGAAAGACUUUUAGAGUUUCUUUGGGGUUCUUUAAAUAGAACCCCAACCCUCACCAUAAAGGGAAGGUCCCGGCAACCAGAUAGCUUGAAUUUUGAGAAAAUAACUGAAGUUUAAAGUUUUCAGUAAAUUUUUUAUUUAGGCUUGACUGUGAAGUCGAGUCCUUCUAGUUCAAAAAUUUAUUUACUUUGUUUUUCCUUGUGUGGUUGAGUUCGAGAAUUGGAAGCACAAAGGCUCUGAGUCCUUUCUUGCUCACAUCUGUGAGUAAAAGAGCCUGCCUAUUGGGCCUGAGGCCCAAUAAGAAAAUUCUUUCUCCAAAGAUAUCGAUUCCGCAAAGAUAGAAUUGAGUAGCUUGACGCGCAGAAGGUCCAGCCAUGGAUGAAAAUGGCCAAACUAGGGGCUUGGUACUCCCCUAGUCUCUCUCCAUCCUUUAUUUUGUUUCCAUUUCCUUCAUUUGAGCUCUGUGUGUAUUUGUACAAAACUUGUGAAAAACUCAUAUCACAUAGUGGAAUUCUUAAUGUAUGAACUAGUCGUCUUAGGAUGACAGUACCUAGGCCGUUUA